GAUGAACGCUGGCGGCGUGCUUAACACAUGCAAGUCGGGGGGCAGCACGGUUAGCAAUAACUGGUGGCGACCGGCGCACGGGUGCGUAACACGUAUACAAUCUACCUUAAACAGGGGGAUAGCCUUUCGAAAGAGAGAUUAAUACCCCGUAAUAAAUUGAACGGCAUCGUUUGAUUUUGAAAGCUCCGGCGGUUUGAGAUGAGUAUGCGUCUGAUUAGCUAGUUGGUGAGGUAACGGCUCACCAAGGCGACGAUCAGUAGGGGAUCUGAGAGGACUAACCCCCCACACUGGUACUGAGACACGGACCAGACUCCUACGGGAGGCAGCAGUAAGGAAUAUUGGUCAAUGGAGGCAACUCUGAACCAGCCAUGCCGCGUGCAGGAUGACGGCCCUAUGGGUUGUAAACUGCUUUUAUACAAGAGAAAACCCUGGUACGUGUACCAGGUUGAUAGUAUUGUAAGAAUAAGCAUCGGCUAACUUCGUGCCAGCAGCCGCGGUAA
rnacentral:rRNA from 1 species